rnacentral:antisense_RNA from 1 species
AUUUUGCUUAAAUUUAAAAAAAUAACAUUAAAACUUAGUUUAUCUUUCCACUGAGUAAAACUGAGAAAAAGUUGGCUUUCAGAUCAUAUAUUUAUUUAAAAAAAUAAAAUGGGAAAUUGACAAAGUUACCACAUUAUUCUGCAUGCUAACAGGAUUUCUCAAGCCUGUGAGAGAAUCAUUUCUUGAGCAAUUAUAAAAAAAAAAAAAAAAAAAAAAAAAAAAAAGGACUUCCUCAACAAUGUAAAGAUAGGAAAACUUUCAAUCCAAAUUCAAGGUCUUUAUUACUAGUUCCACCUCACAAGCUAGUGGGAUGUAUCUGUGUCACAAGCUGAAUUCCUCAGUAAAGAAAGCUUGAGAAGACACUAAACAAGGAUGUUACUAAAAGACAAUGAUUUGUUAAAAUUAUAAAGCAAUCAUCUUUUGGCCUGCAAACAGUCAACAUUAGAACUCUCCACCACUGUGGAUCUGGCUCCCCAUCACAGUAUUAUUCUGAAUCCAGGAUAAUUACAAUCACAUGGCAUUUUUUUCUGCAUGCUUUCUUGGCCCAAACCCUGCAUGACAACAUAUACAAUUUACAAGAUGGGACUUGAAAUUCCCAUUCUCACACAGGAUAGUUAGGGAGUGUUACCAAUAAUAAAGAAUAAAAGUUAUACAACA